rnacentral:rRNA from 1 species
UACAGAGGGGGCAAGCGUUGUUCGGAAUUACUGGGCGUAAAGGGCUCGUAGGCGGCCAACUAAGUCAGACGUGAAAUCCCUCAGCUUAACUGGGGAACUGCGUCUGAUACUGGAUGGCUUGGAUUUGGGAGAGGAAUGCGGAAUUCCAGGUGUAGCGGUGAAAUGCGUAGAUAUCUGGAGGAACACCGGUGGCGAAGGCGGCAUUCUGGACCAAUAUUGACGCUGAGGAGCGAAAGCCAGGGGAGCAAACGGG